CUGAAACCAACCUAUUAACACAAUACCACACAACAAUCAGCUCACUCUACACACGCAAUCCCAUAAGCAGGCUCCAAACACAUGCACAAUACUCUUUCCUGGCAUUUUUGUCUCCUGGUAUCCCAUUUAUGGAGACACCAGAGACAAGUUUUAAGAAAACACAGCGAAAGCAUGUUAUUAAACUUGCUUGCGCUGUGCAGAACAAAU